rnacentral:tRNA from 1 species
GCCGAUGUAGCUCAGGGGUAGAGCAACUGAUUCGUAAUCAGUAGGUCGUCGGUUCGAAUCCGACCCUCGGCUCCA